rnacentral:rRNA from 1 species
UACGGAGGGUGCAAGCGUUAUCCGGAAUUACUGGGUUUAAAGGGUGCGUAGGCGGCGCAGUAAGUCAGGAGUGAAAGUUUGCGGCUCAACCGUAAAAUUGCUUUUGAUACUGCUGUGCUAGAAUUAGGAUGAGGUCAGCGGAAUGUGGCAUGUAGCGGUGAAAUGCAUAGAUAUGCCAUAGAACACCAAUUGCGAAGGCAGCUGGCUAGACCUAUAUUGACGCUGAGGCACGAAAGCGUGGGGAGCGAACAGG